CAGCAGUGGGGAAUCUUGCACAAUGGGCGAAAGCCUGAUGCAGCGACGCCGCGUGGGGGAUGAAGCUUUUCGGAGUGUAAACCCCUUUCGACCCGGACGAAUGCCUCGCAAGAGGACUGACGGUACGGGUAUAAGAAGCCCCGGCUAACUACGUGCCAGCAGCCGCGGUAAGACGUAGGGGGCCAGCGUUGCUCGGAAUUACUGGGUGUAA
rnacentral:rRNA from 1 species